rnacentral:rRNA from 1 species
UACAUGGGGUGCAAACGUUGCUCGGAAUUAUUGGGCGUAAAGCGCACGUAGGCGGUUCGUUAAGUCGGAUGUGAAAUCCCUCGGCUCAACUGAGGAACUGCCUUUGAAACUGUACGGCUUGAGGCCGGGAGGGGUAGCGGAAUUCCCAGUGUAGCGGUGAAAUGCGUAGAUACUGGGAGGAACACCAGUGGCGAAGGCGGCUACCUGAACCGGUUCGUGACGCUGAGGCGCGAAAGCGUGGGUAGCAAACAGG